AAAAAACGUACCCGAUUUAUACUGGUUACUACUCUUGCCCAGAAAUGAGAAUAUGCAUAUAAGUAGUAGAUUUGGAUAUAAAACACUCUAAAGUUUCUAAAACUGUUUGAAUGGUGUCUGUGAGUAUAACAGAACUCAUAUGGCAGGCCAAAACCUGAGAAGAUUCCAUAAAGGAAGUGCCCUGUCUGAACAUUUGUUCUCCUUCUGUGGCAUCUCUAUCAAAAAUACAGCAUCUCUGCUGUAACGUGACAUUUUCUAAGGCUUCCAUUGGCUCUCAGAAGGCGCCAGAAAGUGGAAUGACGUCUCUGCCGUCUCUGGGCGAAAAACAGCAGGAGUUUUUGUGAGUGGUCAGGCAGGGAAGAGAGGACUCCAUAUUUUUCUUUCAAUCUUUGAACGAAUACAACGUCGCCCAGUUGGAAUAUUAUCACUAUUUUACGAGAAAAAUCGCAUAAAAAUUGAUUUUAAACAGCGUUUGACAUGCUUCGAAGUACAGUAAUGGAAUAUUUUGAUUUUUUUUGUUAGGAAAUGUGCUCGCGCGUCACCCUUCGGAUAGUUAUCUGAACGCACGAACAAAACGGAGGUAUUUGGAUAUAACUAUGGAUUAUUUGGAACCAAAACAACAUUUGUUGUUGAAGGAGAAGUCCUGGGAGUACAUUCUGACGAAGAACAGCAAAGAAAAUCUGUCAAGUUUUUAGGCCAUAUCGUCCCGGCAGAGGGCAUUGCAACCGACCCAGGAAAAGUGUCUGCAAUCAACGACAUCACAGCAGCUGACCUGAUGGAAAAUGAUGGGAAAACACCUUCACCCACCAAGGACAGAAAAGUAAGCGGAAAGGAGAAAAAGGAAAACCUCAUGGCAUGGCCUAUAAACGUCUGAAACCUGAAGACUGGACUUCUGAAUGUGGGGAGGCGCUGGAAAAGCUAAAAGCUGCUGUCUCCCAAACAGCCGUGCUGGCUCACCCAGACUUUAACAGACCAUUUCUCCUAUCAACAGAUGCAUCAAUGGAUGGCUUAGGUGCAGUGCUUAGCCAGACAUUUGAGGGUGAGAGUAGGCCCAGACCAAUAGCUUUUGCAAGCAAGACUCUGUCGAGGUCCCAGUCCCGUUACCCAGCACACAGAUUAGAGUUCUUCGCUCUUAAGUGGGCUGUGUGUGAUAAGUUCACCCAUUGGCUGAAGGGGAAUAGAUUCACAGUCCUAACAGAUAACAACCCCCUGACAUUUAUAAUGACGAAACCAAAGCUAGAUGCCUGUGAGCAGCGGUGGGUCUCUAAACUGGCCCCCUUCGACUUUGACUUGAAGUACAUCCCCGGGCCCCAGAAUGUCCCAGCAGACCUGCUUAGUCGACAGCCGUUCGUUGGAGCUAGGAAGGCAAGUGAGUUCCCAGAGUAUGUGACUUCAGAGUCCAUCCAGGACGCAUUCAAACUGUCAGUCAAUAUCCAAGGUGGUGAGAUCCUGGCUCAAGUCUCUUCUGAAGGAGUGAAAGCAGUUUUGGAAUUCUGUCUGGAGUGGGAUGCGAGUGUGCCAGUGCGCAAAUUCCAAUUAGCCCAGUAUUCUGCCAGCAUCCUUCAGCAUGAAGGGGGAGUGGCUACUCUUCCAGUCCUUUCUCCUGAUGUGAUACGGAGAAAACAGAAGGCGGAUCAGGUGCUGGCCUGAGUGGCGUACUUUGUUGAGAGGAGGAGGAGACCUUCGCGGAGAGAGAGGGCUCAUGAGACUGCCCAAGUGUUGAGAAUACUGAAGUAUUGGGAAAAACUCAAAAUCAAGGAUGAGAUCCUCUACCGAAGAUCUAAGGACAGAGUUGUCAAGAAGAGGUACCAGCUGGUGGUGCCAGACUCCCUUAAAGCCAUCGUUCUGAGGGGAACCCAUGAUGAAGCCGGCCACCAAGGCCAGACUAGAACACUCCAUUUGGUACGUCAAAGGUUCUUCUGGAAUGGAAUGGAAGGGGAAGUGAAGAAGUAUGUCUCCUACUGUAAGCGCUGUGUGGUUGGCAAGACAAUGGAGCCAGAGGCUAGGGCACCGUUGGAAUCUAUUCAGACCAGCACAGCGUUGGAACUGGUGUGCAUAGACUUCUGGUCAGCAGAAGGAAGGGAUGGAGAGAGCGUUGAUGUACUCGUCAUCACCGAUCAUUUUACGAAGCUGGCACAUGCGUUUCCUUGCUCGAACCAGACAGCAAAGGUGGUUGCCCAGAAGUUAUGGAACCAGUUCUUCUGUGUCUAUGGGUUUCCCCAGCGGAUACACUCUGACAAAGGAGCAAACUUUGAGAGUCACUUAAUCGCAGAAUUGCUACAAGUCUCAGGAGUCAAAAAGUCCCAUACCACUCCAUAUCAUCCUAUGGGCAACGGUCAGACGGAAAGAUUCAACCGCACGCUCGGAAACAUGGUCCGAUCGUUGCCAGCGAGAGCAAAAGAAAGAUGGCCCCAGAUGAUACAGACGCUCAACCUUCUCGUACAACUGUACCACACACGAAACGACAGGAUUCGCACCAUUCUUCCUGAUGUUCGGCCGAAUUCCACGGCUGCCAGUGGACAUCAUGUUUGGAAGUACCUUGAAAAACGAAGACAUGUUGACUCAUGACGAGUAUGUUGACUCGUUCCAAAAGGUCCUGCGAGAGGCUGUCAGGAUCGCUCAGGCCAACACCACUGAAGCUCAGAAAAAGCAAGCAAGGCAGUAUAACAAGAGAGUGAAGGGUACUGCCCUGGAGAUUGGGGACCAAGUUCUCUUGGCAAACCGAAAGGAAAGAGGAAAAGGUAACUUGCCGACUUGUGGGAUUCAACGGUCUAUGUGAUCACAUGGAAAGACCCGUCUGUGCACAUCUACAGAGUUGAAGAUCCUACUACCAAGAAGAGUAAAGUAGUUCAUCGAAACUUCAUACUGCCAGUGAACUUCCUGCCGGUGGGACAGACAGACGAGAUGUCCACAGUAGCCUCUACUGCUUCAGAGGAGGACAUAAACGCAGACAGCGGUGACGAAAGACCGGUAUUCGAUGUGGAUGAGGAUUCAGAGGAUCGAAGGACUGCUGUCUGGAUUCUCGAGGGCCAGAACCCUGAGGGGCCCACGGAAGCUGAAGGUCAAAAAUCUUCGGGACCGGAAGAUGGCGUGAACAUGAGAGAAGCUGCUCCUCAAAGCCCAGCGAAGGACAUGAUCUCAGGACAAGCAGCUAAAUCAAGCACAUCAAGCUCUUCAAUGAUGCCUGGUGAUGAUUCAAGUGAUCCUUCUGAAGAUGACACAAGUAGAAAAGCAACGUCAGUGAGCAGUCUAGAUGGCAUCCGCAGUAGAAGUUCAUCAGUCAGCGGCUCUGUAUGCAUAAGACCUACUAAGAAGAGAAUGAGUAACCAGAGAGAGGUAGAGCGCAGAAACAGCCAGACGUCUGAGCUCACUGAUACAGUCCUGAGACCAAGUAAAGGCACUUUGAGAACUCGAACUGGAAGAGUUGUGAAGUCUGUCAGAAGACUUUUAUAGUCAAUGAGUCAAGUGAUUGCUGAGCCGGACAAAAGAGAGCAUCUAGCCGCCCUGAUUCAAGCCUUAUCAACUUUUGUUGAAGUGACAGUACCCCAGUAACACAGAAGCCAGAGGAUAGAUUAAGGAAAUGAGAAAUACUUUAUUAGGGGGUCAUAGGUUGUAGUAUAUGGGCAUAUUUCUACCUGGCAAAGUCUCUUUGCUGUCCUUCUGGACGACUCUUGGUCAAGGUUACACCUGUGGAGGAAGAACUCUUACCUUAUGUCUUAAAGUUUGCUAAAAUCAAGAAGGGGUGAGUGUAGUAGAGUUAACUUCUCUAGGGCCAGUGGGACGAUUUCGUCCCACCUACGUAACAGCCAGUGGAAUCCCGUGGCGCAUUAUUCAAAUACCUUAGAAAUGCUAUUACUUCAAUUUCUCAAACAUAUGACUAUUUUACACCAUUUUAAAGACAAGACUCUCGUUAACCUCUAUGGGCUAGGCGGGACGUAAUCGUCCCACCUACGUAACAGCCAGUGUAAUCCAGUGGCGUGAUUUUCAAAUACCUUAAAAAUCCUAUUACUUCAAUUUCUCAAACAUAUGACUAUUUUACAGCUAUUUAAAGACAAGACUCUCGUUAAUCUAACCACACUGUCCGAUUUCAAAAAGGCUUUACAACGAAAGCAAAACAUUAGAUUAUGUCAGCAGAGUACCCAGCCAGAAAUAAUCAGACACCCAUUUUUCAAGCUAGCAUAUAAUGUCACAAAAACCCAGAAGACAGCUAAAUGCAUCACUAAAAUUUGAUGAUCUUCAUCAGAUGACAACCCUAGGACAUUAUGUUAUACAAUACAUGCAUGUUUUGUUCAAUCAAGUUCAUAUUUAUAUCAAAAACCAGCUUUUUACAUUAGCAUGUGACGUUCAGAACUAGCAUACCCCCCGCAAACUUCCGGUGAAUUUACUAACAAUUUACUAAAUUACUCACGAUAAACGUUCACAAAAAGCAUAACAAUUAUUUUAAGAAAUAUAGACACAGACCUCCUCUAUGCACUCGAUAUGUCCGAUUUUAAAAUAGCUUUUUGGUGAAAGCACAUUUUGCAAUAUUCUAAGUACAUAGCCCAGCCAUCACGGGCUAGCUAUUUAGACACCCGGCAAGUUUAGCCUUCACCAAAAUCAGAUUUACUAUAACAAAAAUGUUAUUACCUUUGUUGUCUUCGUCAGAAUGCACUCCCAGGACUUCUACUUCAAUAACAAAUGUUGGUUUGGUCCCAAAUAAUCCAUUGUUAUAUCCGAAUAGCGGCGUUUUGUUCGUGCGUUCCAGAAACUAUCCGAAAUGGUAAAUCAGGGUCACGCGCAUGGCGCAAUUCGUGACAAAAAAAUUCUAAAUAUUCCAUUACCGUACUUCGAAUGCAUGUCAACCGCUGUUUAAAAUCAAUUUUUAUGCAAUUUAUCUCGUAAAAAAGCGAUAACAUUCCGACCGGGAAUCUCCUUUUCGGUAAACAGAGGAAAAAUCACAAAGACGGGGGCGGCCAGUGCACGCGCCUAAGCCCACAGUCCCUUGAUCGGCCACUUGAGAAAGGCGAUAAUGUGUUUCAGCCUGGGGCUGGAAUGACGACAUUCAGGUUUUUCCCGGGCUCUGAGAGCCUAUUGGAGCCGUGGGAAGUGUCACGUUACCGCAGAGAUCCUUUGUAAUGGAAUGAGAUGUCAAAGAAAGACAAUAAAUGGUCAGACAGGCCACUUCCUGUAAAGGAAUCUCUCAGGUUUUGACCUGCCAUUUGAGUUCUGUUAUACUCACAGACACCAUUCAAACAGUUUUAGAAACUUUGGGGUGUUUUCUAUCCAAAGCCAAUAAUUAUAUGCAUAUUCUAGUUACUGGGCAGGAGUAGUAACCAGAUUAAAUCGGGUACGUUUUUUAUCCAGCCGUGUCAAUACUGCCCCCUAGCCCUAACAGGUUAAUCUAACCACACUGUCCGAUUUCAAAAAGGCUUUACAACGAAAGCAAAACAUUAGAUUACGUCAGCAGAGUACCCAGCCAGAAAUAAUCAGACACCCAUUUUUCAAGCUAGCAUAUAAUGUCACAUAAACCCAAACCACAGCUAAAUGCAGCACUAACCUUUGAUGAUCUUCAUCAGAUGACAAUCUUAGGACAUUAUGUUAUACAAUGCAUGCAUGUUUUGUUCAAUCAAGUUCAUAUUUAUAUCAAAAACCAGCUUUUUACAUUAGCAUGUGAUGUUCAGAACUAGCAUACCCCCCGCAAACUUCCGGUGAAUUUACUAAAUUACUCACGGUGAAAGCACAUUUUGCAAUAUUCUAAGUAGAUAGCCCGUCAUCACAGGGCUAGCUAUUUAAACACCCACCAAGUUUAGCCCUAACCAAAGUCAGAUUUACUAUAAGAAAAAUGUUAUUACCUUUGCUGUUCUUCGUCAGAAUGCACUCCCAGGACUUCUACUUCAAUAACAAAUGUUGGUUUGGUUCAAAAUAAUCCAUAGUUAUAUCCAAAUAGCGGCGUUUUGUUCAUGCGUUCAAGACACUAUCCGAAAGGGUAAAGAAGGGUGACGCGCCCGACGCGUUUCGUGACAAAAAAAUUCUAAAUAUUCCAUUACCGUACUUCGAAGCAUGUCAACCGCUGUUUAAAAUCAAUUUUUUUUGCCAUUUUUCUCGUAAAAAAGCGAUAAUAUUCCGACCGGGAAUCUGUGUUUUAGUACAAAGAGAGAGAAAAUAAAAACAUGGGGUCUCCUCGUGCACGCACCUCAGUCUCAUUGUCCUCUGAUAGACCACUUACCAAAGGCGCUAAUGUUUUUCAGCCAGGGGCUGGAAUUACAUCAUUCAGCUUUUUCCUGGGUUCUGAGAGCCUAUGGGAGCCGUAGGAAGUGUCACGUUACAGCAAAGAUCCUCAGUUUUCAAUAAAGAGAAUCAAGAAGAACAAGAACUUGUCAGACAGGCCACUUCUUGUAAGGAAUCUUCUCAGGUUUUUGCCUGCCAUAUGAGUUCUGUUACACUCACAGACACCAUUCAAACAGUUUUAGAAACUUUAGGGUGUUUUCUAUCGAAAGCCAAUAAUUAUAUGCAUAUUCUAGUUUCUGGGCAGUAGUAAUAACCAGAUUAAAUCGGGUACGUUUUUUAUCCGGCCGUGUAAAUACUGCCCCCUCGCCCUAACAGGUUAAAAUGGUUAUUCCAGCAAACUUCAAAUUAUUAGAAUAGUACACAACGCAGAACAGAACAAUCAGGUUGAGGGUCAGUGGCCAAAGCCCGCGAACAGGAAUAUUCCAAGUUCAGACAGAAGGGGGGAGUCAGAUCGCUAUGAUCGCCAGGAACUUUACUUUUGGUUUCUAAUUUUAAUUGUUGCGCUACUGGUGAUGCCUGUUGAUGUUAGGUAGGCAGCUACAGUAGCUGAAUGAUGUUAACAUCUUCGGGUUUUGUUUCAUUAAAUGCAUAUUAUUUUAUCUGGGUGCUUACGUCACCUACUAACACCCUGGUACUACCCAUAGCUCCCGCUCUCCUCAGUCUGAGAAAACACUGAGAGAGAAAGGUAUGGGUUGCAGAUUACUCCUUUGUAGAAGUCCGUAACGUGAAAUAAAUAAAACGUCCCAAGGUUAAUGCUGUAGAUAUUGUUAUAAGGGGGUGUGAGACUAUCGAAACACGUAACUUUCAGAGUUUUAUUGUUGUUAUUAAUAUAGUUACAGAGUGCUAAAAGUGUUGCUAGCUAGCAUGCCUUUCUUUCUGUGAUGCAGACGGCUAGCUGAGCUGCCAACUAGUGGUGGUGUUGCAUUAUGGGGGAUGUAGUUUUUGCCCUCUAGGGCGAUUUUACGUUGUAACUUGUUUGUGUUGCAGUGGUUUUGUACAUGAGUUGUUGUAUUUUGCUACUAUCAACACUGAAAGCACCUAGCAAUGUAUUGGGGAUGUGAGACAGGAU
rnacentral:lncRNA from 1 species